UAGCAUUAUAGCCUGAUGUUGUUGCUGUAGGUAUCUGAAGUAUGCCAUAUUUAUACCAUUUCAGCAGUUUGAUGUUAGAUGUUUUUAAUUUUUUUUUAAAAUCGCGGUCUUUAUACCAGUCGUCAUUAAAUCGCACUCGUUAUAAUUAGAUAUAUCCUUAAACGUGACGAAAAAUGUACGAUCUUCAACAAUAGCAAUUAGCAAUCUUAUCAAUUUUUAAUUAUUUCAUCCAAGUAAACACCGUUUAAAAGUCUUUUCUUUAAUACUCAUUAUCGGGAAUAUGAUCAGUAUGUCAGUACGAUCCGGGGAUUUACUAAUCAUACGAUCAAUCAUUUCGAGCUGUGUGACAUUGUCAUCGAAUAUUUAUUAAAAUAUUAUAUAAUUAUAAUAUAGUAUUUAUACAACCAUCAGUAAUUCAUGCAUUUUAGGGACAUAUCACGAACCUCUUGCUUUCCUGACCUGAAAAGAUGUAACUAUCAACACAAGCCAUGGAUCCUUAAUAAAUUGAAGUAUGCGAGAUCAAACGUAUGUUGAGAGCAGAUCCAGGACAGAUGCUGAUAGACGUAAUAGGCUCGCUUUGCUAGUGCUGGAUUCCUGCAUAACAGUUUAUAGAUGUGCUUUGUUAGAGUGGACAUUCUGGUCGUCAGCUGGUACAUCGUUAAGCUGCUACUUCGUUUAUUUGCGUUUGGAUGGACGACCACCUGAGAAUUAAGGCGAUACGGCGAAAAAUAUAUUUUAUAACCUAUAAAUGCG